rnacentral:lncRNA from 1 species
CUUAGACCCCAUUUAAAGGCUGACUGCCACUAGAGAAGGGUUUCUUUCUGGAGGUCCCUCCUUGGUGAAGUUUUCCCUUUGAACCUGGAAUCUUAUGAUAUGGGUGAGGUUCAAAUCACAGGACAAGAAGAGCAUGCUCCAAAAAUAAAAGCAGACUUUGGCUUAUGCUGUCCAGCGAAUUGCCAUAUGAAAGCAGGAGGAUUUCGGCUCAUCCACAAUCUCCUGUCCUUACAAGAGUAACUAUAGCCAUGCUGGUGCGUUCAAAGGCAGGAAGAAGACAGCCACAUUACAGCUCUGUGUACUUUGGAAGCACUGCAAGAGAGAGAGGAGAAAUUCUGGAUGGAGGCCCAAUGUAUGGCAACAGAGCAGGAGAUGGAAGUGAUAAGAGGAAUACAUGCGGUGGGUCCCUACUGGGAGAAGAAGUUGUAGCUGAUUUUGUGCAUGUAAAAGAGUGCAGGCUUACGUGGCUCUGGCUUUCCAGAGGGCACCUGCCUGCAGUGUCGGCAGUUCUUCCUGCACUUGAACCUGAACACAGGCUUUACAUUGGAAUGGCUGUGAGAUUUCUCCUUCCUUCCUGCUAAUCUGUGUCUGCUAUUUCUGUGGAAAUGAAAGUACCUGAAACAAACCAAACGUUGGCCCCUACCCUGACAAAAUCAAAUUACUGUAAUGAAAUAGAAUUUUACAUCAUGAAUCACUAGCACCUAUCAGACCAUAACAUUGCAGCAGGCUGCUAAUGAGGCACUGCUGUUCAUCACCUGGUGUAAGUAUGCAGCUUCUUCAGUUAGAGAUUACUUCUAGAGAUGCCACUGUGAUCUCAGAAGCCCUUCAAGGAGCACCACCAUACAUAGGGGUCAAUUCACAAACAGGCAAAACAAAGCUGGGCUGUUUGCAUGCUGCAGUAACAUGUCCACAGUGCUCCUCUGUGUUCAUAGAGAGUACAACAUGGGGCACAACUGGAAGCUGUGUUUAUGAGAG